CGGGUGUCAGUCACGAGAGUUGGAGAUGGUUUAGGUAAAUCGUCGGGAGGUAAUCCGAUGGGCAGACAAGUGUUCACCACGCCAACAAAAGUUCUUCUUGCUCGAUUCCUUCCUUUGUCCAAUAGAUGAUAACGAAGUGGAUAGGCAGAGGGAAGGAAAUAAAAAAGCAAAUUGUGAAGAACACAAUAAGAUAAUCCGGGAGAGGGGGGUCAGAUGUAGACAAGAAGGGGGAGGGGGGCAAAUAGGCGGCGUGGCAUCGAGUUGGGUGAUGAGGUGGUGGCGCGGCAGGUUUGUAAGACCUGGAGAAAGGGAAAAGGGAGGAAUGGAUGGAUUAUGGGGUAAAUGUAUGCAUGUAUGAAAUUAUGAAUGGGGUGUUCCGC
rnacentral:lncRNA from 1 species